UUUACCCUGCCAUGUUCGUGAUUCAGAAACAAAUUCCUUGAACCGUAAGUUAUCCAUACGGAGCCCCAAAGUCUGUGGCCACCGACAGGCCUUAACUGGAAGUCCUACGCCAUCGACCCGGCUCCACCUGUUUCCCAGGCAGUUCAAAGGAACUGUUCCACACGGCAUUACGGUGGGGUAUUC
rnacentral:other from 1 species